rnacentral:rRNA from 1 species
UACGUAGGGGGCAAGCGUUGUCCGGAUUUACUGGGCGUAAAGCGCACGUAGGCGGAUUUGUAAGUCAGGGGUGAAAUCCCGGGGCUCAACCUCGGAACUGCCUUUGAUACUGCAAAUCUCGAGUCCGGAAGAGGUGAGUGGAAUUCCUAGUGUAGAGGUGAAAUUCGUAGAUAUUAGGAAGAACACCAGUGGCGAAGGCGGCUCACUGGUCCGGUACUGACGCUGAGGUGCGAAAGCGUGGGGAGCAAACAGG